GAUGAACGCUGGCGGCGUGCCUAAUACAUGCAAGUCGAGCGAACAGACGAGGAGCUUGCUCCUCUGACGUUAGCGGCGGACGGGUGAGUAACACGUGGAUAACCUACCUAUAAGACUGGGAUAACUUCGGGAAACCGGAGCUAAUACCGGAUAAUAUAUUGAACCGCAUGGUUCAAUAGUGAAAGACGGUUUUGCUGUCACUUAUAGAUGGAUCCGCGCCGCAUUAACUAGUUGGUAAGGUAACGGCUUACCAAGGCAACGAUGCGUAGCCGACCUGAGAGGGUGAUCGGCCACACUGGAACUGAGACACGGUCCAGACUCCUACGGGAGGCAGCAGUAGGGAAUCUUCCGCAAUGGGCGAAAGCCUGACGGAGCAACGCCGCGUGAGUGAUGAAGGUCUUCGGAUCGUAAAACUCUGUUAUUAGGGAAGAACAAAUGUGUAAGUAACUAUGCACGUCUUGACGGUACCUAAUCAGAAAGCCACGGCUAACUACGUG
rnacentral:rRNA from 1 species